rnacentral:misc_RNA from 1 species
AAAAUGGAUACACGAAAUUUUUAUCAGAACUCGAAAUUUGUGUACAAGGCAAAUUGGAAGAUUUUCAUUUACCAAGUAUAGUGAGGGAUAUUCAUAAUUAUGAUAAUCAUGAACAAUGGAUAUUCGCAUCACUUCGGAGAUACAGAAGAAAUAAAUUUUUAUGAAACUAUAUCGAAUAGACAAUAUAAGCAUUAUUAAUAAGCUCUCAUUUGACUCCCGCUACAACUUAAUUAAAUCAUGGCAUUUGCGGAUAUCUUAUGACAUUUAUAUAGCAGCUUCAAUUUGAGUGAAUUAGUUGAAUUUCGAAAUGAUUUCAAUUUUUGCCCGUCUGAUUGUCAAGUAUCCCAUUGGUGGAUUUUCCCGCCACGAAUAACGGAACUUUGGUGAUUUUCACCUGACGGGUUGGUAAGCAAUAAAUAGUAUAAAUAUAACAUUUGCAAUUGUUAGGAGCAUAAUUGAUCAUUUACGGGAACGAAUAAUGCCACGUCACGAUAACCUAAUCGAAUUUAUAUCAUAAACUAUUAUUGACACGUGUAUUAUUAGGAAUCAAUUUGACAAAUCGAUUUAAAG